CACGUAGGGCGCAAGCGUUGUCCGGAAUUAUUGGGCGUAAAGAGCUCGUAGGUGGUUUGUUACGUCCGCUGUGAAAUCCUAGGGCUUAACCCUGGGCUUGCAGUGGAUACGGGCAGACUAGAGGUAGGUAGGGGAGAUUGGAAUUCCUGGUGUAGCGGUGAAAUGCGCAGAUAUCAGGAGGAACACCGGUGGCGAAGGCGGUUCUCUGGGCCUUACCUGACACUGAGGAGCGAAAGCGUGGGGAGCGAACAGG
rnacentral:rRNA from 1 species